UUAAGUGACUAAGCGUACACGGUGGAUGCCCUGGCAGUCAGAGGCGAUGAAGGACGUGCUAAUCUGCGAUAAGCGUCGGUAAGGUGAUAUGAACCGUUAUAACCGGCGAUUUCCGAAUGGGGAAACCCAGUGUGAUUCGUCACACUAUCAUUAACUGAAUCCAUAGGUUAAUGAGGCGAACCGGGGAACUGAAACAUCUAAGUACCCCGAGGAAAAGAAAUCAACCGAGAUUCCCCCAGUAGCGGCGAGCGAACGGGGAGCAGCCCAGAGCCUGAAUCAGUGUGUGUGUUAGUGGAAGCGUCUGGAAAGGCGCGCGAUACAGGGUGACAGCCCCGUACACAAAAAUACACAUACUGUGAGCUCGAUGAGUAGGGCGGGACACGUGGUAUCCUGUCUGAAUAUGGGGGGACCAUCCUCCAAGGCUAAAUACUCCUGACUGACCGAUAGUGAACCAGUACCGUGAGGGAAAGGCGAAAAGAACCCCGGCGAGGGGAGUGAAAAAGAACCUGAAACCGUGUACGUACAAGCAGUGGGAGCACGCUUAGGCGUGUGACUGCGUACCUUUUGUAUAAUGGGUCAGCGACUUAUAUUCUGUAGCAAGGUUAACCGAAUAGGGGAGCCGAAGGGAAACCGAGUCUUAACUGGGCGUUAAGUUGCAGGGUAUAGACCCGAAACCCGGUGAUCUAGCCAUGGGCAGGUUGAAGGUUGGGUAACACUAACUGGAGGACCGAACCGACUAAUGUUGAAAAAUUAGCGGAUGACUUGUGGCUGGGGGUGAAAGGCCAAUCAAACCGGGAGAUAGCUGGUUCUCCCCGAAAGCUAUUUAGGUAGCGCCUCGUGAAUUCAUCUCCGGGGGUAGAGCACUGUUUCGGCAAGGGGGUCAUCCCGACUUACCAACCCGAUGCAAACUGCGAAUACCGGAGAAUGUUAUCACGGGAGACACACGGCGGGUGCUAACGUCCGUCGUGAAGAGGGAAACAACCCAGACCGCCAGCUAAGGUCCCAAAGUCAUGGUUAAGUGGGAAACGAUGUGGGAAGGCCCAGACAGCCAGGAUGUUGGCUUAGAAGCAGCCAUCAUUUAAAGAAAGCGUAAUAGCUCACUGGUCGAGUCGGCCUGCGCGGAAGAUGUAACGGGGCUAAACCAUGCACCGAAGCUGCGGCAGCGACGCUUAUGCGUUGUUGGGUAGGGGAGCGUUCUGUAAGCCUGCGAAGGUGUGCUGUGAGGCAUGCUGGAGGUAUCAGAAGUGCGAAUGCUGACAUAAGUAACGAUAAAGCGGGUGAAAAGCCCGCUCGCCGGAAGACCAAGGGUUCCUGUCCAACGUUAAUCGGGGCAGGGUGAGUCGACCCCUAAGGCGAGGCCGAAAGGCGUAGUCGAUGGGAAACAGGUUAAUAUUCCUGUACUUGGUGUUACUGCGAAGGGGGACGGAGAAGGCUAUGUUGGCCGGGCGACGGUUGUCCCGGUUUAAGCGUGUAGGCUGGUUUUCCAGGCAAAUCCGGAAAAUCAAGGCUGAGGCGUGAUGACGAGGCACUACGGUGCUGAAGCAACAAAUGCCAUGCUUCCAGGAAAAGCCUCUAAGCAUCAGGUAACAUCAAAUCGUACCCCAAACCGACACAGGUGGUCAGGUAGAGAAUACCAAGGCGCUUGAGAGAACUCGGGUGAAGGAACUAGGCAAAAUGGUGCCGUAACUUCGGGAGAAGGCACGCUGAUAUGUAGGUGAAGCGACUUGCUCGUGGAGCUGAAAUCAGUCGAAGAUACCAGCUGGCUGCAACUGUUUAUUAAAAACACAGCACUGUGCAAACACGAAAGUGGACGUAUACGGUGUGACGCCUGCCCGGUGCCGGAAGGUUAAUUGAUGGGGUCAGCGCAAGCGAAGCUCUUGAUCGAAGCCCCGGUAAACGGCGGCCGUAACUAUAACGGUCCUAAGGUAGCGAAAUUCCUUGUCGGGUAAGUUCCGACCUGCACGAAUGGCGUAAUGAUGGCCAGGCUGUCUCCACCCGAGACUCAGUGAAAUUGAACUCGCUGUGAAGAUGCAGUGUACCCGCGGCAAGACGGAAAGACCCCGUGAACCUUUACUAUAGCUUGACACUGAACAUUGAGCCUUGAUGUGUAGGAUAGGUGGGAGGCUUUGAAGUGUGGACGCCAGUCUGCAUGGAGCCGACCUUGAAAUACCACCCUUUAAUGUUUGAUGUUCUAACGUUGACCCGUAAUCCGGGUUGCGGACAGUGUCUGGUGGGUAGUUUGACUGGGGCGGUCUCCUCCUAAAGAGUAACGGAGGAGCACGAAGGUUGGCUAAUCCUGGUCGGACAUCAGGAGGUUAGUGCAAUGGCAUAAGCCAGCUUGACUGCGAGCGUGACGGCGCGAGCAGGUGCGAAAGCAGGUCAUAGUGAUCCGGUGGUUCUGAAUGGAAGGGCCAUCGCUCAACGGAUAAAAGGUACUCCGGGGAUAACAGGCUGAUACCGCCCAAGAGUUCAUAUCGACGGCGGUGUUUGGCACCUCGAUGUCGGCUCAUCACAUCCUGGGGCUGAAGUAGGUCCCAAGGGUAUGGCUGUUCGCCAUUUAAAGUGGUACGCGAGCUGGGUUUAGAACGUCGUGAGACAGUUCGGUCCCUAUCUGCCGUGGGCGCUGGAGAACUGAGGGGGGCUGCUCCUAGUACGAGAGGACCGGAGUGGACGCAUCACUGGUGUUCGGGUUGUCAUGCCAAUGGCACUGCCCGGUAGCUAAAUGCGGAAGAGAUAAGUGCUGAAAGCAUCUAAGCACGAAACUUGCCCCGAGAUGAGUUCUCCCUGACUCCUUGAGAGUCCUGAAGGAACGUUGAAGACGACGACGUUGAUAGGCCGGGUGUGUAAGCGCAGCGAUGCGUUGAGCUAACCGGUACUAAUGAACCGUGAGGCUUAACCUU
rnacentral:rRNA from 1 species